CAUCAGAUCCAGUCAACAAAACUUAGAGAUUCUUAGUCACCCAAACCCACCCGCCCGAAUGUCGCAACGGUAUGGAACAAAAUGGGCUUCUACAGGCAGAAACAUGGUUGUGCCAUGGGCUCUCCAGUCUCUGCCAUUGUGGCCAACCUCUACAUGGAAGAAGUUGAGAAGAGAGCUUAGAACUCCUUCAAGGGCACAACACUGAGCCGCUGGUUCAGGUACAUGGACGAAACCUGGGUCAAGAUUAAAUCCCAUGAGAUAGAAGCCGUCACUGAACUUAUUAACUCUGUUGACAACACCAUCAAGUUCACACAGGAGGAUAUCAAAGAUAACAGGCAGUCAUUUUUGGACUGUGCUGUGCAUAUUGAGGAGGACAGGAGUCUUAAUAUUGAGGUGUAACGGAAACCAACACACAGAAGAGUAUCUUCUAAUCUUGGUCUGCUUAUUUCUAUUUAUCCUUAACAUGUCAUUGAUAUGUCAGGCACAGGAAAAUCUUCUCACCUGUUACUUGCUCAUAUGGCGACAAACACCAGGCCUACACUUACCAAAGAAAGUUAAUCAAAUUAUGCCUGAUGGUGAUAAUAAAUAUUGUA